rnacentral:rRNA from 1 species
AUUGAACGCUGGCGGCAUGCCUUACACAUGCAAGUCGAACGGUAACAGGUUAAGCUGACGAGUGGCGAACGGGUGAGUAAUAUAUCGGAACGUGCCCAGUCGUGGGGGAUAACGUAGCGAAAGCUACGCUAAUACCGCAUACGAUCUACGGAUGAAAGCGGGGGAUCGCAAGACCUCGCGCGAUUGGAGCGGCCGAUAUCAGAUUAGGUUGUUGGUGAGGUAAAAGCUCACCAAGCCUGCGAUCUGUAGCUGGUCUGAGAGGACGACCAGCAACACUGGAACUGAGACACGGUCCAGACUCCUACGGGAGGCAGCAGUGGGGAAUUUUGGACAAUGGACGCAAGUCUGAUCCAGCAAUACCGCGUGCAGGACGAAGGCCUUCGGGUUGUAAACUGCCUUUGUACGGAACGAAACGGUGAGCUCUAAUACAGUUUGCUAAUGACGGUACCGUAAGAAUAAGCACCGGCUAACUACGUGCCAGCAGCCGCCGUAA